rnacentral:ncRNA from 3 species
UACGUAGGUGGCAAGCGUUGUCCGGAUUUAUUGGGCGUAAAGCGAGCGCAGGCGGUCAAUUAAGUCUGAUGUGAAAGCCCCCGGCUCAACCGGGGAGGGUCAUUGGAAACUGGUUGACUUGAGUGCAGAAGAGGAGAGUGGAAUUCCAUGUGUAGCGGUGAAAUGCGUAGAUAUAUGGAGGAACACCAGUGGCGAAGGCGACUCUCUGGUCUGUAACUGACGCUGAGGCUCGAAAGCGUGGGUAGCAAACAGG